rnacentral:lncRNA from 1 species
AACCCUAUGCCUCGAUCCUCUCUUCUUGUUUUCCAUCCUAAUGGACUGAUGGCGGGGCAGCUCGGAUGGCCGCCAAGGCAACCGCUGCAGCCGUGCCUUUAGGAUGGGGUUCAGAAAAGGUGGAGAGGAAGGGAAUCAUAUAAUGUGAUCGAUCAAAGGCGAAUCUGAGCCUCCCCCCCUCCUUUUCCUUCCUCUAUUUUAUUUUCAUCUGUUUGUUUCUUUGUUUCUUUUAUGGUGAUUUCUUUUUCUAGGGUUAGGUCUUAAUGUUAUGACAAGGAUUUGCAUUUAUUUUGCUUUUCCUUCGUUUCUUUUGUAUUAGUAUGUCAUUCGUUAUAUUCUGAUAUUUUUUUAUUUUUUUUCCCAAACAUUCUAAGCAUAGUCUAUGAAAUUUUCAGGGAAAUCGUAUAAAGAAGCCGGUAUUUUCUGUUAUGAUGAUAUUUUUAUUUAAUGUAACCUAUCAUAUAAUAUGAAAACCACAGUUAUUUGUUGAUGAUAUUUGAUGCUUUUUAUUUUUUUGAAUAUCUUUUGUUAUUUAUUGGGAUUUUCCGCCGUAGUUUUCCCCUUAUCUAUAUGUAUUGGACCAUUUGGGAAUCCGGAAAGCUUAUUAAUUUGUAUUGGAAAUUUCGCCGAUUUGGUGCACGUUCCGGGUUUUCACAUGGUAUUUU